GGUUCGGAUUCUGGCUCUAGAUUGAACGCUGGUGAUGUUUUACACAUGCAAGUCGAACGGCAGCACGGACUUCGGUCUGGUGGCGAGUGGCGAACGGGUGAGUAAUGUAUCGGAACGUGCCGGGGAUAACUACGCGAAAGGUAGCUAAUACCGCAUAUUGCCUUCGGGAAAGCGGGGACCUUCGGGCCUCGCACUAUUAGAGCGGCCGAUAUCGGAUUAGCUAGUUGGUGGGUAACGGCUCACCAAGGCGACGAUCCGUAGCUGGUUUGAGAGGACGACCAGCCACACUGGGACUGAGACACGGCCCAGACUCUACGAGGCAGCAGUGGGGAAUUUUGGGAUAAUGGGGGAAACCCCUGAUCCAGCCAUCCCGCGUGUGCGAUGAAGGCCUUCGGGUUGUAAAGCACUUUAAGUAGGAAAGAAACGGCACGAUAAUACUCCCGUGCAACUGACGUACCGCAGAAUAAGCACCGGCUAACUCACGCCAGCAGCCGCGGUAAUACGUAGGGUGCAAGCGUUAAUCGGAAUUACUGGGCGUAAAAGCGUGCGCAGGCGGUUCGGAAAGAAAGAUGUGAAUCCAGAGCUUAAUCCUUGAACGGGACGAUCCACUGAGCGAGAGUGGUCGAGGAGAAUCGCGCAGGGUAGGAGGAAUGCGUAGAUAUGCGGAGGAACACCGAUGGCGAAGGCAGCCUCCUGGGAUAACACUGACGCUCAUGCACGAAAGCGUGGGAGCAAACAGGAUUAGAUACUCCCGGUAGUCCACGCCCUAAACGAUGUCAAUCAGCUGUUGGGGCCUUCGGGCCUUGUAUGCGCAGCUAACGGGUGUGAAGUUAAUCGCCUGGGGACAUUGGUCGCAAGAUUAAAACCAAAGGAAUUGACGGGACCCGCACAAGCGGUGGAUGAUGUGGAUUAAUUGAUGCAACGCGAAAACCUUGUCACCUUUGAUAUCUGAAUCCCGAAGAGAUUUGGGGAGGCUCGCAAGAGAACCGGAACACAGGUGCUGCAGCGUUGUCGUCAGCUCGUGUCGAAGUUGGGUUAAGUCCCGCAACGAGCGCAACCCUUGUCAUUAGUUGCUACGAAAGGGCACCCAUCGAGAUCGCCGGUGACAAACCGAGGAAGGCGGGGAUGACGUCAAGUCCUCAUGGCCUUAUGGCAGGGCUUCACACGUCAUACAAUGGUCGGGACAGAGUGGUCGCCAACCCGCGAGGGGAGCCAAUCCCAGAAACCCGAUCGUAGUCCGGAUCGCAGUUCGCAACUCGACUGCGUGAAGUCGGAAUCGCUAGUAAUCGCGGAUCAGCAUGUCGCGGUGAAUACGUUCCCGGGUCUUGUACACACCGCCCGUCACACCAUGGGAGUGGGUUUUACCAGAAGUAAGUUAGCUCAACCGUAAGGAGGACGAUUACCACGGUAGGAUUCAUGACUGGGGUGAAGUCGUAACAAAGGUAG
rnacentral:rRNA from 1 species